UGUGUGUGAUAUACAACACAAUUUGUUUUCUUUCAUUUUAUAGUUGAUGCAACAUUUCUGGGUGUGUUUCGUACAGCGUCAGUGUGUGUGGCCUCCCUAGUCCUGAUUUAAACCAGAAGACGGUUAGCUGGUGCCCUCUGACCCAGGCGAGGAGCUGGCACUGCCGGGAGAACUGGCUGGCUCAGAGAGGGUUCUGCCACUCUCUUGGGACCUGGCCCUGGAAGUCACCGAUGUCACUUGCCAUUGAGUCCAGAUGACACACCAGCUCCAAAUGACAGCUAACCAAAGGCGAUGUCCUCAGAGUAGUGAAUCCUGUUCUCUUCUAUUCACGUGUCCCUGUGGGAAUGCACAGUUUCUCCAUGGCACUGCAAGAGAGUGGAAGUGGGCAGGCCGGGGUCUUCCCAAAUGCAUUUCCCUUGCACACUGAAGGGGGCCCUUCUCGCCCUUCCCUGGGAUGCUGAGAAAGGGGCACCCUCAAAAGCUUGUGUCCUGUAGGGGGAGGGAGUUUAGCUCUGGCUGCAGAUUCCACUGUAGCUGACUUACUGGGCUCUUGGUGGGUUCUGGGAAGACUGGAGCACACUGACUUCAUCAGCAGGGAGCAGCUGGCUCCUCCCGCAGGUGCUUCCCAAGCUUCCUCCUGUGUGGGGCUGGCUGACACUCUGCUGGGCUGACCAUCAUCUAGGAGAUGUCAUGGUGAAAAUAACAAUUCUGCUCAAGUGA